rnacentral:snRNA from 1 species
GGAUGUGGGGAUGAUUUAGCUGCAGCAUCUGUCAUCCCAUUUAGUACUAGGGUCCAUCCAGCUGACCUGGCUGGCUAGGCAAGUGUCCCCUUCUUUCCUCAGCACUCUAGAGGUAUUCCUUCUGAAGCUGUGUGCUUGAUUGAAAAGGAUGGCCUUCUCCAGUAAGGAUGGCUGAUCUUAGGUCAAGGGUAUACAAGUAAAUAUGCUCUUUUGAUAGAACCUCUGAAUAAGCUCCCACAAUCCUUGAGGCAGCUGUUGAAGUACUCGGUGAACAUCUCUGAUGCAACUCUCAGUGGACACACACAGAAGUUUCUCCCAG